rnacentral:misc_RNA from 1 species
UAUAUUGGCUAUCCUAAGCAGAUAAGAAGAAUCCAUAGCUAGCAAAUUUGAACUAAGCACAAUAUUUGUUCAAAAUAAAUAAAUAAGAACAGUGAACAGAAGAGUAGAAGUUGUGCUCCAGUAUAGGAAAAUGUCAUGAUAUAAAUCAUCUUAAAGGACAGUUCUCUUCCAUACCUUUAUUGCAGCAGAAAGAAAUCUAUGAGCUAUAGACUCCAUACCAUCUUCCUCAGUCACUAUCGCCUGAAUUGAUAAAGAGAUGACUAUUAGCAGCAGGCCACCACAAUUUGGACAAUUACUGAAAUCUAAACCACUAAAGAAAAGUCUGGCAACUUCAAAGAAUUACUAUCUA